rnacentral:rRNA from 1 species
ACGCGAGUGGAUGCCAAUCCCAAACCUCUCUCGGUUCGGACUGGAGUCUGCAACCCGACUCCACGAAGCUGGAUUCGCUAGUAAUCGCGCAUCAGCCACGGCGCGGUGAAUACGUUCCCGGGCCUUGUACACACCGCCCGUCAAGCCAUGGGAGCCGGGGGUACCUGAAGUGCGUAACCGCGAGGAGCGCCCUAGGGUAAAACUGGUGACUGGGGCUAAGUCGUAACAAGGUACC